rnacentral:hammerhead_ribozyme from 1 species
GCACUGCUGAGGAGUCCCAUAGUCGGGCGAAACGGCCGUCCAGUGC